UACGAAGGGGGCUAGCGUUGUUCGGAAUCACUGGGCGUAAAGCGCACGUAGGCGGACUCUUAAGUCAGGGGUGAAAUCCUGGAGCUCAACUCCAGAACUGCCUUUGAUACUGGGAGUCUUGAGUUCGGGAGAGGUGAGUGGAACUGCGAGUGUAGAGGUGAAAUUCGUAGAUAUUCGCAAGAACACCGAUGGCGAAGGCAGCCAUCUGGACCGACACUGACGCUGAGGCGCGAAAGCGUGGGGAGCA
rnacentral:rRNA from 1 species